AACGAACGCUGGCGGCAGGCUUAACACAUGCAAGUCGAGCGCCCCGCAAGGGGAGCGGCAGACGGGUGAGUAACGCGUGGGAAUCUACCCAUCUCUAUGGAAUAACGCAUGGAAACGUGUGCUAAUACCGUAUACGUCCUUCGGGAGAAAGAUUUAUCGGAGAUGGAUGAGCCCGCGUUGGAUUAGCUAGUUGGUGGGGUAAAGGCCUACCAAGGCGACGAUCCAUAGCUGGGCUGGAAGGAUGAUCAGCCACACUGGGACUGAGACACGGCCCAGACUCCUACGGGAGGCAGCAGUGGGGAAUAUUGGACAAUGGGCGCAAGCCUGAUCCAGCCAUGCCGCGUGAGUGAUGAAGGCCCUAGGGUUGUAAAGCUCUUUCACCGGUGAAGAUAAUGACGGUAACCGGAGAAGAAGCCCCGGCUAACUUCGUGCCAGCCGCCGCCGUAACAC
rnacentral:rRNA from 1 species